rnacentral:lncRNA from 1 species
CCAUGACCAACUAUCAGAUCCCCCAGACGGCCCUGCUGAAGUACAGGUUCUUCUAUCAGUUUCUGUUGGGCAAUGAACGAGCAACAGCAAAGGAGAUCAGGGAUGAAUAUGUGGAGACGCUGAGCAAGAUUUACCUGUCUUACUACCGCUCUUACCUGGGGCGGCUCAUGAAGGUGCAGUAUGAGGAAGUCGCUGAGAAAGAUGAUCUAAUGGGUGUGGAAGAUACAGCAAAGAAAGAUAUCCUAGUACUGGGGAACCCUCAUGCCAGGCCUUGAGAGUGGGAGGACUUUCGACUCCAGCCACCAAUGCACUGCUCCUUACCUUUUCCUAUGGGACUGAAACCUUUUAGAAUGUGAUGAAAGCUAUAGCCUCCCUCCCCAGAAAGAUGCACACAUUAUUUUGACACAUAGUUUUGCAUAUGAUUGCAAGGGAGGGAGAGACACCCUGAAGCCC